GACGAACGCUGGCGGCGUGCCUAAUACAUGCAAGUAGAACGCUGAAGGAGGAGCUUGCUCUUCUGGAUGAGUUGCGAACGGGUGAGUAACGCGUGGGUAACCUGCCUGGUAGCGGGGGAUAACUAUUGGAAACGAUAGCUAAUACCGCAUAACAGUAGAUGUUGCAUGACAUUUGCUUAAAAGGUGCAAUUGCAUCACUACCAGAUGGACCUGCGUUGUAUUAGCUAGUUGGUGGGGUAACGGCUCACCAAGGCGACGAUACAUAGCCGACCUGAGAGGGUGAUCGGCCACACUGGGACUGAGACACGGCCCAGACUCCUACGGGAGGCAGCAGUAGGGAAUCUUCGGCAAUGGACGGAAGUCUGACCGAGCAACGCCGCGUGAGUGAAGAAGGGUUUCGGAUCGUAAAGCUCUGUUGUAAGAGAAGAAAGAGUGUGAGAGUGGAAAGUUCACACUGUGACGGUAUCUUACCAGAAAGGGACGGCUAACUACGUG
rnacentral:rRNA from 1 species